UGAGUUUGCCGGGUGAUCGCCGCUUGUUUUCCAAUCUGAGAUUGGAAAACAAAUUGGAGGAAAGUCCGGACUCCAGAGGGCAGGGUGCUGGGUAACUCCCAGGCGGCGUGAGCCGACGGAAAGUGCCACAGAGAACAGACCGCCUACGUUGGUGUUUCACCAACCGGCAAGGGUGAAACGGUGGUGUAAGAGACCACCAGCAUCCCGGGAGACCGGGAUGGCUAGGCAAACCCCACCUGGAGCAAGGCCAAGCAGGGAUGACGGGUAGCCCGCCCGAUUCUCGCUCCGGCGAGGAUCAAAUCCCAGGUAGGCCGCACCGAGGCCGCGCGGCAACGCCGGCCCCAGAUGGAUGAUCGCCUAUUCAGCAAAACUGAAUAGGUUGGAGUUUCCGCUUCGGCGAAAACUCCGCCUAAUCGGUCGAGCUGGAGGACAGAAUCCGGCUUACAGGCAAACUCACAUA
rnacentral:RNase_P_RNA from 1 species